UACAGAGGGUGCGAGCGUUAAUCGGAUUUACUGGGCGUAAAGCGUACGUAGGCGGCUUUUUAAGUCGGAUGUGAAAUCCCUGAGCUUAACUUAGGAAUUGCAUUCGAUACUGGGGAGACUAGAGUAUGGGAGAGGAUGGUAGAAUUCCAGGUGUAGCGGUGAAAUGCGUAGAGAUCUGGAGGAAUACCGAUGGCGAAGGCAGCCAUCUGGCCUAAUACUGACGCUGAGGUACGAAAGCAUGGGGAGCAAACAGG
rnacentral:rRNA from 1 species